rnacentral:lncRNA from 1 species
UUUUUUUUGGUACCAGGGAUUGAACCCAUGUUCACUCAUCUACUGAGCCACAUCCCCAGCCCUAUUUUGCAUUUUAUUGAGAGGCUGGGCCUCACUGGGUUGGUUAGCACCUUUUGCAAUUGCAGAGGCUGGCUUUGAAUUCGAUUCUCAUGUCUCAGCCUCCCAAGCCACUGGGAUUACAGGUGUGCGCCACCACACACAGCUUCAUUGUGUUUUUAACAACAAAAUUAAGAUCAUUCAUCAAAAAUACCUAGAAAUUCUAUCAAAUGGUAUAAAAAUGUCUCCACAGUAUUAGUAUUACUAGUAUAGCUGAAGGCUGUGAUAAGUUUUUUUUAGAAACCAGUGAGUCCUUCCCACUUGUUAGUUUGAACCACUGCUCAAGGCCCCAUGAAACACUGUGAAAACUUUCCCUGUCACCACUGACAGAAGGAUUGAAGAUGGCCGUACAGUACAGGACUUGGUGAUAUAGGGGCUGGAGGCACCCUCUGCAGCCUUCUCAAAAACCAGGACAAUCUGAGUCUGAAAAUUACAAAACAGUCAAUUCUCUUUAUGUCCUAUAAAGCCGCCUCUGAUAUAAAUUAGCAAAUACUGAAAUCCUUCAUUGCUCUACUGAGUUAGGUUUCCAGAGUUUACGUUCACACAGUUUUCAAUGAAUCAACUUAUGAUCUUGUUUUCUUGUUCAAGACACUUUAUUCUGCUGAACUCUUUAACACUGCUUCACGGCCAACAUCACUGCAACUCAGGCAUGAACAAAGCUCAUCUAAUACACAGUAUUUUCUAAGACACAGCACAGCCUUCUUGCCCUUAGGAACACUGGUCAGUCCAACAGCACUGCACUUGGGACCAUUUCAAAUAGGAAAGUCAUCAAGGAAAAGCACAAAACUGCAAAAUGGCACUAAAAGGACCGACCAAACAAACAAACAAAAAGACACAGCGUGACAACUGAAAGACUGAACGUCCCCUUGUUCACCUUAGGGUGGGAAAAUAUUCACUGGAGAUUCCAACUCUCCACUGCACUGCACAAGUCCUCAAAUGACUGCAAAAGCACCGUGUACAGUGGCGGGUUACAAAUAAAUUUUAGCAACUAGGCAUAUCUGCAAACACAGAAUCCAUAAAUGACUAAGAACAACUCAUUUGGGAUUAACAUUUGGGAUUAACAAAGAUGAUAAAAAAGCUCUCCAUCUAGUGGAAACUUUUAGAAGCACAGAGCUACUUAGGCAAAAUUGGUAGAACUUUCAUUCAGAAAACAAGGAAAAAAAAUUAGUGAUUUUAGCUUUAGAUGGAGUCAUGAUGCAGUCAAGAGUUCUGAAGUUAUGUCAAGAAACAAAUUUUAGCUAUGUAUACAACAAUGCUGACUUCUAUGGUAAAAUCCCACAGUGUGAGAAGAGAGAAAUUAGGAUUCCCCCUUUUUAAUUCAUGUAACUACAGCCUUUACUGAUAGCUAUUAUGACAGACAUCUUUGGGGACAAACUCAGUGGUUAUCUAGCCAUUGUUAGUUCCUUAAUGUUGUUUCAGCUCAUAUAAAAAUACAUUGCCAGAGUCUAAACAAAGUACAAAAAAGGCCCAGCUAUCAGUGGUUAGAUAUAAAGCAAAAUUUAAAACAAUCUGACAUCAUGCUACUUCAAUUUUAAAAUGUCAACUCUUUAAUAUAUUAAACAAAAUGUGAGUCACCAUGGGCCACUGUUACAGAGGGAAAAUUAAUCUAUAACAAGGACAAUCAACCCAAGCAAAUUUUCUUUAGUUCUACUGUUGUGGCUCUGAAAGUUUCAACUCCAGCAGACUGGAAGAAGUGGGUAUUGAACCUAUACAAAGAGCACAGUGUUCUUCUGGGGCUGGGGAUGUAGCUCAGCAGUAGAGUACUUGUCUAGUAUGUGCAAGGCCCCAAGUUCAAUCCCCAGCACUGCAAAAAAUAAUAAUAAAAAAAACGAGUUCCUGAGUGUGUUAGCUAGAAAAAGUUCUUCUAGGGGCCGAGAUUGUGGCUCAGCAAGAGUGCUCACCUAGCACGUGCGAGGCCCUGGGUUCGAUCCUCAGCACCAUUUUUGUUUAAAAAAAUCAUAAUAAAAAUAAACUGUUGGGUAUCAUUAGAAUAUUAUAACAUAUAAAAAUAAAGGUAUUUUAAAAAAGUUCUUCUAGCACAUCUCCAGCUUCACAGGAUGUGAAGAGAUAAGCACAUUAUACUAGUAAGUACAACUUAAUCACCUCACUCCUCAAAAAUCUAAGCUAUAAGACUUUCUAUAAAAACAUCUCUAAGCAAUUGCAUAUCUUAAAUACAAACCAAAGAUAUGGUAAUCCAGAAAUGGUAUUUCCCCCUUAGGUAUGGGAAAGUUCUAAGGCCACAAAACUGAUACUAUCUUCAAUAAACAGGAAACUUUAAUUUUUGAUUGAAUCUUUUCCUUCCAUAACUUGGUGGGUAAAUCUGUUACGUAUCUGCU